AAUAGAUACCCAGGUAGUCCACCCCGUAAACGUUGGGAACUAGUUGUGGGGUCCUUUCCACGGAUUCCGUGACGCAGCUAACGCAUUAAGUUCCCCGCCUGGGGAGUACGGCCGCAAGGCUAAAACUCAAAGGAAUUGACGGGGACCCGCACAAGCGGCGGAGCAUGCGGAUUAAUUCGAUGCAACGCGAAGAACCUUACCAAGGCUUGACAUACACCAGAACACCCUAGAAAUAGGGGACUCUUUGGACACUGGUGAACAGGUGGUGCAUGGUUGUCGUCAGCUCGUGUCGUGAGAUGUUGGGUUAAGUCCCGCAACGAGCGCAACCCUCGUUCUAUGUUGCCAGCACGUAAUGGUGGGAACUCAUGGGAUACUGCCGGGGUCAACUCGGAGGAAGGUGGGGAUGACGUCAAAUCAUCAUGCCCCUUAUGUCUUGGGCUUCACGCAUGCUACAAUGGCCGGUACAAAGGGCUGCAAUACCGUGAGGUGGAGCGAAUCCCAAAAAGCCGGUCCCAGUUCGAAUUGAGGUCUGCAACUCGACCUC
rnacentral:rRNA from 1 species